rnacentral:misc_RNA from 1 species
UCUAAGGAGUACUAGCCUGCGCUGAAAUGUUGAAUGGUUCGGAUGGAAAAGCGCCCCCUCCCUGAUGAGGCUGGCCGAAGCCGAGCGAUUCAGCGGCAUCUUUCAGCGCGUGGCGCAACUCCCAAGGUAGAAUUCGCGCGAAGGCUUCAACCUGCUCGAUUGUCAUAGGUAAAGGAAAGCAGUCCCGUGCGCACUGGCUUUCGAGUGCGCUCAAAUUUUGUCUGCUUCAAUUCGGGCCUGUAGCUCAGAUCGGUUAGAGCGUUCGCCUGAUAAGCGAAAGGUCACUGGUUCGAUUCCAGUCAGGCCCAAUGGAUCGAGAAAAGCGGGGCUGUAGUUCAGUUGGGAGAACGACGGCUUUGCAAGCCGUAGGUCACCGGUUCGAGCCCGGUCAGCUCCAUGCAUUCCCAUCGCGGCUGGUCGCGAUCGUGGCAUUCAUUAUUGCUUCUAUUUAAUGGCUGCCAGGAUCGUUCGAGUCUGCAACGGUUCUAAACGACGUAUUCAUGAAUAUGAAUACCGUUCUUUGACAAUUCGUAAUACCCAACGUCGUAUUUGGUUGUUGGGUGAUGUUGCGCCAAGCAUGGAUACCGUUAAGUGAAUAAGGGCGUACGGUGGAUGCCUUGGCACGGGAAGGCGAUGAAGGACGUGGCAAGCUGCGAUAAGCCUCGGGGAGGCGCAAACGGCCUAUAAUCCGAGGAUCUCCGAAUGGGGAAACCCGG